UACGAAGGGGGGCUAGCGUUGCUCGGAAUCACUGGGCGUAAAGGGUGCGUAGGCGGGUCUUUAAGUCAGGGGUGAAAUCCUGGAGCUCAACUCCAGAACUGCCUUUGAUACUGGAAAGCUCGAGUCCGGGAGAGGUGAGUGGAACUGCGAGUGUAGAGGUGAAAUUCGUAGAUAUUCGCAAGAACACCAGUGGCGAAGGCGGCUCACUGGCCCGGUACUGACGCUGAGGUGCGAAAGCGUGGGGGAGCAAACAGG
rnacentral:rRNA from 1 species